UACGUAGGGUGCGAGCGUUUGUCCGGAAUUAUUGGGCGUAAAGAGCUUGUAGGCGGUUUGUCGCGUCUGCUGUGAAAUCCGGGCUCAACCCGGACUUGCAGUCGAUACGGGCAGACUAGAGUGCGGUAGGGGAGACUGGAAUUCCUGGUGUAGCGGUGAAAUGCGCAGAUAUCAGGAGGAACACCGGUGGCGAAGGCGGGUCUCUGGGCCGUAACUGACGCUGAGGAGCGAAAGCGUGGGGAGCGAAC
rnacentral:rRNA from 1 species